rnacentral:rRNA from 1 species
CAGUCGAGGGGCAGCACAGGUAGCAAUACCGGGUGGCGACCGGCGCACGGGUGAGUAACGCGUAUGCAACUUACCUAUCAGAGGGGGAUAACCCGGCGAAAGUCGGACUAAUACCGCAUGAAGCAGGGGCCCCGCAUGGGGAUAUUUGCUAAAGAUUCAUCGCUGAUAGAUAGGCAUGCGUUCCAUUAGGCAGUUGGCGGGGUAACGGCCCACCAAACCGACGAUGGAUAGGGGUUCUGAGAGGAAGGUCCCCCACAUUGGUACUGAGACACGGACCAAACUCCUACGGGAGGCAGCAGUGAGGAAUAUUGGUCAAUGGCCGAGAGGCUGAACCAGCCAAGUCGCGUGAGGGAUGAAGGUUCUAUGGAUCGUAAACCUCUUUUAUAAGGGAAUAAAGUGCGGGACGUGUCCCGUUUUGUAUGUACCUUAUGAAUAAGGAUCGGCUAACUCCGUGCCAGCAGCCGCGGUAAUACGGAGGAUCCGAGCGUUAUCCGGAUUUAUUGGGUUUAAAGGGUGCGUAGGCGGCCUUUUAAGUCAGCGGUGAAAGUCUGUGGCUCAACCAUAGAAUUGCCGUUGAAACUGGGGGGCUUGAGUAUGUUUGAGGCAGGCGGAAUGCGUGGUGUAGCGGUGAAAUGCAUAGAUAUCACGCAGGACCCCGAUUGCGAAGGCAGCCUGCCAAGCCAUUACUGA